rnacentral:rRNA from 1 species
CUGAGAGGGUGAACGGACACACUGGAACUGAGACACGGUCCAGACUCCUACGGGAGGCAGCAGUAGGGAAUAUUGCUCAAUGGGGGAAACCCUGAAGCAGCAACGCCGCGUGGAGGAUGAAGGUUUUAGGAUUGUAAACUCCUUUUGUUAGAGAAGAUAAUGACGGUAUCUAACGAAUAAGCACCGGCUAACUCCGUGCCAGCAGCCGCGGUAAUACGGAGGGUGCAAGCGUUACUCGGAAUCACUGGGCGUAAAGAGCGCGUAGGCGGGAUAGUCAGUCAGGUGUGAAAUCCUAUGGCUUAACCAUAGAACUGCAUUUGAAACUACUAUUCUAGAGUGUGGGAGAGGUAGGUGGAAUUCUUGGUGUAGGGGUAAAAUCCGUAGAGAUCAAGAGGAAUACUCAUUGCGAAGGCGACCUGCUGGAACAUUACUGACGCUGAUUGCGCGAAAGCGUGGGGAGCAAACAGGAUUAGAUACCCUGGUAGUCCACGCCCUAAACGAUGGAUGCUAGUUGUUGGAGGGCUUAGUCUCUCCAGUAAUGCAGCUAACGCAUUAAGCAUCCCGCCUGGGGAGUACGGUCGCAAGAUUAAAACUCAAAGGAAUAGACGGGGACCCGCACAAGCGGUGGAGCAUGUGGUUUAAUUCGAAGAUACACGAAGAACCUUACCUAGGCUUGACAUUGAGAGAAUCCGCUAGAAAUAGUGGAGUGUCUAGCUUGCUAGACCUUGAAAACAGGUGCUGCACGGCUGUCGUCAGCUCGUGUCGUGAGAUGUUGGGUUAAGUCCCGCAACGAGCGCAACCCCCUUUCUUAGUUGCUAACAGGUUAUGCUGAGAACUCUAAGGAUACUGCCUCCGUAAGGAGGAGGAAGGUGGGGACGACGUCAAGUCAUCAUGGCCCUUACGCCUAGGGCUACACACGUGCUACAAUGGGGUGCACAAAGAGAAGCAAUACUGUGAAGUGGAGCCAAUCUUCAAAACAC